UUGCUUUUGUUUUCUGUCGCUUUUCCACCCCGAAAACUCGAAGGAUUUUGGCGACUCCGGCGACGGCCCAUGUUCGAUUCUUUCUCGGCUUCGAUCUCAUUCUAAGGAAUCGAAACCCUAGUUCUUUGAUCUCUGCAUCGCCUUCCUCCGAUGGCGUCCGAUGGGUACUGGAGGUACAGCGACCCACGAUACCAGCCGGCGCAGCCGGCUCCUUCUGUGACCUUGAAGCGUCCUCGGACCGAUUAUGGUGAAAUUCCGGGUGGAUCGGCAAUUCCUGGUUAUUACCCCCGUGAGGAAGAGCAUAUCGGACACUUUUCCAGAGAAAAUGAGUACAUUGAAGCAUCCUAUGAUCGUUAUUUACAAAAUGGGAUUUCUUCAUAUGGAAGUGGGGAUUCUGUUAGGUCUGUCACUGGUGGUGUUCGUGGUCAUCCUGUCGAUGAUCCGCUUAGGCCUGUUGCUGGUAGUGUUCGUGGUCAUCUUGUUGAUGAUCCACUUAGGUCUGUUGCUGGUGGUGUUCGUGGUCAUCCUGUUGAUGAUCCACGUCUGAUUGGUGUCGGGGGUGUAGAUGGUCGGGCUGUUGGAUAUAGAAGUGGAAGAUCUGAAACAUCUCUUCCUCCAGAUGCCUCAAAUACUCUAUUUGUUGAGGGCCUCCCUUCAAAUUGCACCAGGAGAGAAGUGUCUCAUGUUUUUCGUCCUUUUGUAGGUUUUCGAGAAGUUAGACUUGUGAGCAAGGAAUCCCGACAUCCUGGAGGAGAUCCCCUUAUUCUAUGCUUUGUUGAUUUCUCCACUGCUAGUCAAGCUGCAGUUGCUUUGGAAGCCUUGCAAGUGGCAUGAGGAAAACAUGUUAGACGAUGAAGAGAAGUUUAUUAUGCUGGAAUGAGAAUAAUUCCUUAAAAAAAGAGAGGAGUUUCUCCCUCAUCAAUAGCUUGGUGAUGAGCUCGUCAAGUCCAGCUUCCAGAAAGGUAACAAGAAGGGAAUGAUGGCUGGUGUCCCUAACACUUAUAUUUGAAAGGGAGACUUGUAGAUGACAUGCACUUCUGCUCAAAACAUAGAGUUAUCUCAGUCAGCUAAAGGCUUUGUUCUUUUCUCCGAUAUCACUAAUAGGUUGCUCUCCAUCAGAAUGUCUAUGGAGAUUUGCAAAAAUGAUCCUGAUGCUCCCUGCUUCAAGCAUAGAUUGAGAGUUCUGGUUGUGAAUGGCUACAAGUCUAACAAGGCCCUCGUGGUGGCAUACAUUAUAGGAGUUGGUGUCAAGAGUCUUGUGGCAGAUAAUGCAAAAGAGGUUUAGGAGCUCAUGCGCAAAGGAGCUACAUGACUUGAUUAUUUGAUCACCAUGGACAAGGAAAUGCUCACAAGCAUUCUCCUCUCAUACAUGCAACCUUGAAUAAUGAGCAACACUUUGGAAGUAAAAAGCAAUUGUGGUUUUUUCUCUGUUUUGUUGUUAAAUAGGCAAGAAGGAGGCCGAGGGCCUUGGGAAUUCCCACGGCGAUAGUCGUGAUGGGCUUGGACAAUAUGAGGGAGGUGGAGCUUGCGGUCCUGUAUGGUGGAGUGCGUGACUUCUUUCCAAAGCCAGUCAAGUGGGUGAUGCUCAUCUCUCUUGGAGAAAUUGAUAUUGAAAUAUGACAGAAAAUAAAAAAGCCCACUGCAGGCCCAGAACAACAUGAGGAUGUUGUCUUGAAUAAGAAAUUUUUCAUGUGCUAAUUUCUGGGGCACAACAUUUUUGUAACUUUGCCAACAAAAACGAAGGAAGAACAAACCAUCAUGUUAUCUUCUCACCUGUUUUUUUCCAAAUGGUCAAUGCUUAUGUGGUGCGAAGGUUGAAUUAGUAAAACUAGAACUUGAUAAAAAGGAAAUAAAGAUGAUAGUUUUCCUGUACGGUUUUUUAUUUUUUAUUUUUUUAUUUUAUUGAUAUGAAAACUUAGCAGGGACUUAGAACGAUUGGACCUCAACUCUUAAGUGGAAAUGGGGAACCUGCAAGUAGCUGAUACCUGUGGUUGAA